rnacentral:rRNA from 1 species
CACGUAGGGGGCGAGCGUUGUCCGGAAUCAUUGGGCGUAAAGAGCUCGUAGGCGGCUCGGUAAGUCGGGUGUGAAACCCCCAGGCUCAACCUGGGGACGCCACCCGAUACUGCUGUGGCUAGAGUCCAGUAGGGGAGUGUGGAAUUCCCGGUGUAGCGGUGAAAUGCGCAGAUAUCGGGAAGAACACCGGUGGCGAAGGCGGCGCUCUGGACCGAGACUGACGCUGAGGCGCGAAAGCGUGGGGAGCAAACAGG